GACGCCACAGAGGGUGAAAAGAACCCCGCCCCUCGUCAUGUGACGGGGGGGGUGUGUGUGUGUGUGUGCUCGGCCGACGUCACCGCAGGCGCGACAAAGGGUGCAACAGUUGGCAACAGUGGCCACAGAGGCUGACUGGGCAUCUCACCUUAGUCCAUGGGUAUCUCACGCAGCAGCUUGAAAAAGAGCAUGGGUUUUUCAUCUUCAAGCAAGAGUGAGAAACAACAACAAAUACCUCCUGAAAUUGUAGUUACAUCUGCAUCAGAUACGUCUUGGGAAAAAAGCAUCACAGAUACAGAGAGUCCACCUGGAAGAAGGGGCAGCAAAGACUCGACAUCAGGGGUUAAUGAGAAAACAGAUCAAGGCUGAGUUUUGUACAAAGAAAUUGAAGUUACAAAUUUUAACUUAUCCUACUAACUUGAAAAUGCAGUUCCUUAUAAAGAGAUACAAAAGCAGCAAUACCUCAAUUUUGUAGUUGUUUUAAUGAAAAAUCUAAACUCUUCAAUUAUUAUUCAUACAACUGACAGUACUGCAUGGAUACUGAAGCUUUAUAAAUGGAGCUGUUCAAACUUUGGAGCAUAUUCUAACUUUGUAUCUAUUCAAAAACUUGCAAGAUAUGUGGUUUAAUAUUGUAAAUGAGAAACAAUAAGUAAACUGCAGAUGCUGGAAUAGAAAAUGCUGGAUGUACUCAGUCGGUCAGGCUGCAUUUGUGGGGAAAAAAAUAAAGUUGAUGUUUCAGUUAAACACGAGCAUUUCCAGCAUUUUCUGUUUCACUUUACCAUACUAACUGCAGACUUAAGUUUGAGUUUCAUAUUCUCAUUUUCUAGCGCAUACAUUUCCAGUAAUAUGAAUAGAUACUUAAUGAGAAUGAAAUCUCAAGACAUUUUUUAAUUAUUAAGUAUUAUAAUAUGAUUGACAUUCCAAUAAAAUGUGUUAUUUCUGCACUUCCAACCCAGGAUUUACAAAUGUGUUAAUAAUGACCCUAAAGUGCAUUUAAUAUGUUUUGAGGUCCACUCACACCUCAUGCAAGCUAAAGCAAAAUACAAUUUAUAUUAUUCAAAAAUCACAUACAAAACACAAACUAUAACAUACGAAGGAAUGUGAAUCCAUGUGUGAAUGCACCAUAACAAAAGUCAUGAGGAAGUUAAAAACAAUAUAUAAGUUAUAUUGUAGUGAGGUUGAUUAUCUAUGCAUUGUAUCGUAUUGAUCAGAAUUAAAUCAUUGGUAACAUUAGUUUCCAAAAUAGUAAAGGAUGAUAAUGUGUUUGAUUAGCUUCCUUCUGUAUGUUGCUGAUGCCAAAACAGUUUUACAACUAUCUGUGUUUUGCAAUUAAAAUCACAUUUUAUCCAUA